rnacentral:rRNA from 1 species
GACGAACGCUGGCGGCGUGCCUAAUACAUGCAAGUAGAACGCUGAAACUUGGUGCUUGCACCGAGCGGAUGAGUUGCGAACGGGUGAGUAACGCGUAGGUAACCUGCCUGGUAGCGGGGGAUAACUAUUGGAAACGAUAGCUAAUACCGCAUAAGAGUAGAUGUUGCAUGACACUUGCUUAAAAGGUGCAAUUGCACCACUACCAGAUGGACCUGCGUUGUAUUAGCUAGUUGGUGGGGUAACGGCUCACCAAGGCGACGAUACAUAGCCGACCUGAGAGGGUGAUCGGCCACACUGGGACUGAGACACGGCCCAGACUCCUACGGGAGGCAGCAGUAGGGAAUCUUCGGCAAUGGACGGAAGUCUGACCGAGCAACGCCGCGUGAGUGAAGAAGGUUUUCGGAUCGUAAAGCUCUGUUGUAAGAGAAGAACGAGUGUGAGAGUGGAAAGUUCACACUGUGACGGUAUCUUACCAGAAAGGGACGGCUAACUACGUG